GUGGGGAAUAUUGCACAAUGGGCGAAAGCCUGAUGCAGCAACGCCGCGUGAGUGAUGAAGGUCUUCGGAUUGUAAAGCUCUGUCUUUUGGGACGAUAAUGACGGUACCAAAGGAGGAAGCCACGGCUAACUACGUGCCAGCAGCCGCGGUAAUACGUAGGUGGCGAGCGUUGUCCGGAUUUACUGGGCGUAAAGGGUGCGUAGGCGGAUGUUUAAGUGAGAUGUGAAAUACCCGGGCUUAACUUGGGUGCUGCAUUUCAAACUGGAUAUCUAGAGUGCAGGGGAGGAGAAU
rnacentral:rRNA from 1 species